rnacentral:rRNA from 1 species
AGAGUUUGAUCAUGGCUCAGGAUGAACGCUAGCUACAGGCUUAACACAUGCAAGUCGAGGGGCAGCAUGUUGGUUGCUUGCAACCAAUGAUGGCGACCGGCGCACGGGUGAGUAACGCGUAUCCAACCUACCCUUGUCCAUCGGAUAACCCGUCGAAAGGCGGCCUAACACGAUAUGCGGUUCUCAGCAGGCAUCUAACGAGAACGAAAUGUGAAGGAGAAGGAUGGGGAUGCGUCUGAUUAGCUUGUUGGCGGGGUAACGCCACAAGGCGACGAUCAGUAGGGGUUCUGAGAGGAAGGUCCCCCANAUUGGAACUGAGACGCGGUCCAAACUCCUACGGGAGGCA